rnacentral:sRNA from 1 species
GUUUAGCCCUGAUUGAAGCGGCAUCCUUUUUAAUUGUCAGUUCGAGUGAAUUUGUGAAAAAUGAACAAAUUUAUAUCGAGAACAAAAUUAAAAAGAUAUAGCUAAAAGCAGGAAAUAGC